rnacentral:rRNA from 1 species
ACGGAGGGUGCAAGCGUUGUCCGGAUUUAUUGGGUUUAAAGGGUGCGUAGGCGGCCCGUUAAGUCAGCGGUGAAAUCCCACGGCUCAACCGUGGAACUGCCGUUGAUACUGGCGGGCUUGAGUUCGGUCGAGGCGGGCGGAACUGGUGGUGUAGCGGUGAAAUGCAUAGAUACCACCAAGAACCCCGAUUGCGUAGGCAGCUCGCUGGGCCGAAACUGACGCUGAGGCACGAAAGCGUGGGGAGCGAACA